rnacentral:rRNA from 1 species
GACGAGUCUGACGAACGUUAUUCGGAAUUACUGGGCUUAAAGGGUGCGUAGGCGGUGGAGUAAGUCGGAUGUGAAAUACCUUAGCUUAACUAAGGAACUGCACUCGAUACUACUUUGCUAGAGUAAGACAGAGGUGAGUGGAACUGAGGGUGGAGCGGUGAAAUGCGUUGAUAUCCUCAGGAACACCGGUGGCGAAGGCGACUCACUGGGUCUUUACUGACGCUGAUGCACGAAAGCUAGGGUAGCAAACGGG